GCAAGUCGAACGGUUAAAGCAUCUUCGGCUGUGUAUAACGUGGCGAACGGCUGAGUAACACGUGGGCAACCUGCCCUUUGCACUGGGAUAGCCUCGGGAAACCGAGGUUAAUACCGGAUAAUCCAUAUGUGUGGCAUGGAGAAUAUGGGAAAGAUCCGGCGGCAAAGGAUGGGCCCGCGGCCUGUUAGCUAGUUGGUGGGGUAGUGGCCUACCAAGGCAAUGAUGGGUAGCCGGGUUGAGAGACCGACC
rnacentral:rRNA from 1 species